AGUGUUUCCUACUUUAUGGAUGU
rnacentral:ncRNA from 2 species